GCACAAGCGGUGGAGCAUGUGGUUAAUUCGACGCAACGCGAAGACUUACCAGGCUUGACAUCCCCUGACCGCGUAUGAAAGUACGUUUUCACCCUCGGGUGACAGGGAGACAGGUGGUGCAUGGUUGUCGUCAGCUCGUGUCGUGAGAUGUUGGGUUAAGUCCCGCAACGAGCGCAACCCCUACGUUUAGUUGCUAACGCGUGAAGGCGAGCACUCUAGACGAACUGCCGUUGACAAAACGGAGGAAGGUGGGAUGACGUCAAAUCAUCAUGCCCCUUAUGUUCUGGGCUACACACGUGCUACAAUGGCCGGUACAGACGGACGCAAAGCCGCGAGGUGGAGCAAAUCCUAAAAAAGCCGGUCUCAGUUCGGAUUGCAGGCUGCAAUUCGCCUGCAUGAAGUCGGAAUCGCUAGUAAUCGCAGGUCAGCAUACUGCGGUGAAUACGUUCCCGGGCCUU
rnacentral:rRNA from 1 species